rnacentral:rRNA from 1 species
UACAGAGGGUGCGAGCGUUGUCCGGAAUCACUGGGCGUAAAGGGCGCGUAGGUGGCGACCCAAGUCGAUGGUGAAAGCUCGCCGCUCAACGGCGAGUCGGCCACCGAUACUGGGUUGCUUGAGCACUGUAGAGGCUAAUGGAAUUCCGGGUGUAGCGGUGGAAUGCGUAGAGAUCCGGAAGAACACCGGUGGCGAAGGCGGUUAGCUGGGCAGUUGCUGACACUGAGGCGCGAAAGCCAGGGGAGCGAACGGG